AACGAACGCUGGCGGCGUGCUUAACACAUGCAAGUCGAACGGAAUUAGGGGCUUGCUCCUAAUUUAGUGGCGCACGGGUGAGUAACGCGUGGAUAACCUACCCUGGUAUCUGGGAUAACAUCUCGAAAGGGGUGCUAAUACCGGAUAAGCCCACGGUCUCUUCGGGGAUUGCGGGAAAAGAUGGCCUCUAUUUAUAAGCUAUCGUAUCAGGAUGGGUCCGCGUACCAUUAGCUAGUUGGUGGUGUAAUGGACCACCAAGGCGACGAUGGUUAGCUGGUCUGAGAGGAUGAUCAGCCACACUGGAACUGAGACACGGUCCAGACUCCUACGGGAGGCAGCAGUGGGGAAUUUUGCGCAAUGGGGGAAACCCUGACGCAGCAACGCCGCGUGAGUGAUGAAGGCCUUCGGGUCGUAAAGCUCUGUCAGAGGGGAAGAAGUGAUAGUGUGCUAAUACCACAUCAUCUUGACGGUACCCUCAAAGGAAGCACCGGCUAACUCCGUGCCAGCAGCCGCGGUAAUACGGAGGGUGCAAGCGUUGUUCGGAUUUAUUGGGCGUAAAGCGCGUGUAGGCGGUCUUUUAAGUCUGAUGUGAAAGCCCCGGGCUCAACCCGGGAAGUGCAUUGGAAACUGGGAGACUUGAAUACGGGAGAGGGUAGUGGAAUUCCUAGUGUAGGAGUGAAAUCCGUAGAUAUUAGGAGGAACACCGGUGGCGAAGGCGGCUACCUGGACCGAUAUUGACGCUGAGGCGCGAAAGCGUGGGGAGCAAACAGGAUUAGAUACCCUGGUAGUCCACGCCGUAAACGAUGAGUACUAGGUGUUGCGGGUAUUGACCCCUGCAGUGCCGCAGCUAACGCAUUAAGUACUCCGCCUGGGAAGUACGGUCGCAAGACUA
rnacentral:rRNA from 1 species